rnacentral:rRNA from 1 species
UGGGGAAUAUUGGACAAUGGGCGCAAGCCUGAUCCAGCCAUGCCGCGUGAGUGAUGAAGGCCUUAGGGUUGUAAAGCUCUUUCGCCGGUGAAAGAUAAUGACGGUAACCGGAGAAGAAGCCCCGGCUAACUCGUGCCAGCAGCCGCGGUAAUACGAAGGGGGCUAGCGUUGCUCGGAAUCACUGGGCGUAAAGCGCACGUAGGCGGAUCGUUAAGUCAGGGGUGAAAAUCCUGGAGCUCAACUCCAGAACUGCCCUUGAUACUGGCGAUCUCGAGUUCGAGAGAGGUUGGUGGAACUCCGAGUGUAGAGGUGAAAUUCGUAGAUAUUCGGAAGAAACACCAGUGGCGAAGGCGGCCAAACUGGCUCGAUACUGACGCUGAGGUGCGAAAGCGUGGGGAGCAAAACAGGAUUAGAUACCCUGGUAGUCCACGCCGUAAAACGAUGGAUGCUAGCCGUUGGGGGGUUUACCCUCAGUGGCGCAGCUAACGCCUUAAGCAUCCCGCCUGGGGAGUACGGUCGCAAGAUUAAAACUUAAAUGAAUUGACGGGGUCAUAGCUG